AUGCUUGAUUUGGCUGCACAUAUACUAAAUUUUGAACAAUACAGAGAUUGGCAUGGCCCCUGUGCAAGGAUGACACACAAAUUUAUGAAAGAUUCUAUAUUUUU